UCUGGUUCGCCAUCUCCUGGUGUUGCACUUUCACUGCCAUUCAGCAGGCUGGAGAAGUGUUCCCUCCACAAACUCAGUAUAUUCUGGACAUCCAUUACCAGAUUACCUUCUGGUCCCUACAUGAUAAUGCUCCAGUCUUGAAACCUUCUGUAAAUCGCCUCAUCCUUUCAUAUUUUCUUAAAAUUUUCGAGCAUUACCCAUGUCGGUCAGCUUUUCAUUCACUCGCAUUUCCCUCUCUGCUCUCGAUAUCUAUCCCACCCCGAACGUGUUGUGGUCGAUCGCAACGUUGCGAUGAGCAGUCUGAUGAGGCGUUAAAAUCGCCAAGCACGAUUUUGACAUCGUAGCGGGGCAGCGCUCAUAGGUUCGUUCUAGGUGCUCAUAGAAAGCAUCUUUGAUCACAUCGUCCUUCUCUUCCGUUGGAGCGUGGGCGCAAAUCAGCGAUAUGUUGAAGAACUUCGUUUUGAUGCGGAUUUUGGCUAGACGUUCAUCCACCGGGGUGAAUGCCAGGACGUGGCGACGGAGUCUCUCUCCCACCAAAAAUUCAACACCAAAUUUUCGAUCCUUUAUAUGCCGCUGUAGUAUAUGUCACAAGGACCCACCUUCGUCCGUACUUGUCCCGUCCAUUGCACUUCUUGGAUGGCGGUGAUGUCAGCCUUUAGUUGUAUGAGGAUAUCAACCAGUGGGGCAGAUGCACCUUCCCAAUUAAGAGUCCGGACAUUCCAGCUGCAUGCCCUCAAAUCGUGAUCCUUAAAACGUUUGCAGGGGUCGUCAUUAAAAGUUGGGUUUCUCUUCCGAGGCUCUGUUUGGUCUCUUAUUGGGGAGGUUUUUUUAUAUGGUGGGUCCCAAACCCUUCGCACAACCGCAGAAGCGGUCUCGGUCACUCGCCUUCUCACUUCAGCUCGCCUUCAAACGGAUUUCUGUUGGCUACUCAGAGGAUUUGAUCUAAAUGCGGAAAUCGUGAGCUGCUUGAGUCAUAUGCAAAAUAAUCGUUCCUGGCCACUCCCAAGUGAAUGACAAUCAGAAACCUUCCUCACUUGCUUGAACUCCCACAUAUGACCCCAUCCCCUUGUAAAUACAAAUAAAAUAAUAUAUUUACAAUUGAAUAAGUUGCUUUUUAAAUAUUAUUUAAAAUAAAUGCAAAACCAUCCGGAAGUACAAUGGAAAAGCUUUGAAGCCGAAAUAAAUAGAUUCAGGUCACCACAUACCUCAUUCAAAUAUUUAUAUGUGCAUUUUUGUUAUUGUUUAUAUGUAUUUCUUGUUCAACCUUAUUUUUUCAAUUUCGGUAAAUGUAGAAUAAAAGAUUGAUUUGUUGCCGUUGCUAUGCAACGAAAGUUCGUUCAUACUUUUCUUGUUCGUUGUACCGUUACAUUAAGAGUGUAUUGGUGAAUUGGGUAUUGCAUAGUAAAUAUUUAUCUAUAUGUGUAAAAUCAGUUUAGCUGAUUUUUCUUGCUGAUAGUGUAGCAGCAAAAUCUUGUUUCGUUAAAAUUUGUUUGCAAUAUUAUUUUUAUCAGCCGAGGAACAAGGAAUAAUCAUAUGAAAGAAUGGAAGCGGUUCCAAAAUGCGUCUAGACCAAAGCGACAUCGAAAAUGUAUAUCAAGACUUCUUAAAACCCCACUAAUUAUGGUACAGUGCAACGCAGCGGACGAAAAACAACAUUGAUAAUCGGUGCGAAAGGAUGAUUCGACGGCUAGCAGUUGCGGACUUGAUAAGCAGCGGUCAAAUAUGGACCUAGUUAAGACAGAAAAUUACAAUAAAUAUAAUUUUUCCAAUUAUACAUAAAGAUCAGUUUCUCAAACACACCUCCAUGGCACCUAAACCAACACUAAAGAAAGGCACAAUAAAGCACAUUUGAUAGAAUAUAAUACUUACUGACGAAAACAAAUUAAAUUUGGUCGGCUCAGAUCAUUGCAAGAAAUAUUGGAGAGAUUCCGUUCAGGAACGACGAGCCUGCUACAAGGAUGUUUUGGAAGCGGUACCUUGGUAUCAUGGGCUACAUUCUACUGCAGUGGAAAGAUAUCUACAUAUUUUAAAUUCACACAAAUGAAUACUAGUAUUUAUGUAGAUCUUUUGGCAGAGAGUUGAUAAAAUUUGCAAGCAAUAUUUAUAGCCUGUAACUGGACAUAUCAGCGGGAUAACGCAUGAAUCCACACGAAGAACAUCUUUAGCGACCGAAAAAUUCCCUUAUUACAUCGUGCAGCAUUGAGUUCGAAUCUCUGGGGGAUCCUCUCUGCUCCUGUUUUCCAAAACGGAAAGCAGUUUGAGACACUACGUCACCUUAAAUUAGCCAUAAAGCAAGAAUUGGCCAAUAUUUACAUAACUAUUCUUCAAUCAUUAGUUAAUUCUAUGAUUAAGCAAAAGUCUAUGUUUUAAAAUACUGCUGACUAUUAAAAUAAACAUUUCUUUCAGUUAAACUGCAAUGUAUAAGAUUUUACUAGUAAAAAAUAGUAAAAUGCACAUAUAAAUUACUAUUAGCCUAAACUUAAUGUUUUAUAGUUUAAAAAAAUUGCAAUAUGUUUAUUUUUUUUUAUAUCGUAUAUAAUAGUAAUAGCAAACCUGCAUACCCGGAAAUAUUUUGUAAUCUUUUAUUUUUUUUUACAAAAAGUUCAUACACAUAUAAUUAUUUGUAUGAGGUUGGACUGGAAAAGAAUGGCAGAAGCUAAUAUUUUAAUAAUACUACAAUUUAAGCAAUUUGUAAUAUUUGAUUUACUUCUGUAGGUAUAGAUAUUAUUAUACAGAUGUUGCAGGUGCUGCUA